UCCAUGCAGUGGCAACACUGCGGAAGACCUAGUGGCGAACGGGUGAGUAACACGUGAGGAACUUGCCCCGGAGACCGGGAUAAGCCCCCGAAAGGGGGUCUAAUACCGGAUGUCCUCACCGAGCCGCAUGGUUUGGUGAGGAAAUGGAUUCCGCUCCGGGAGAGCCUCGCGGCCUAUCAGCUAGUUGGUGGGGUAACGGCCCACCAAGGCGUCGACGGGUAGCUGGUCUGAGAGGACGAUCAGCCACACUGGGACUGAGACACGGCCCAGACUCCUACGGGAGGCAGCAGUGGGGAAUCUUGCGCAAUGGGCGAAAGCCUGACGCAGCAACGCCGCGUGCGGGAUGACGGCCCUCGGG
rnacentral:rRNA from 1 species